AUUGAACGCUGGCGGCAUGCCUUACACAUGCAAGUCGAACGGUAACAGGUCUUCGGAUGCUGACGAGUGGCGAACGGGUGAGUAAUACAUCGGAACGUGCCCGAGAGUGGGGGAUAACGAGGCGAAAGCUUUGCUAAUACCGCAUACGAUCUCAGGAUGAAAGCAGGGGACCGCAAGGCCUUGCGCUCACGGAGCGGCCGAUGGCAGAUUAGGUAGUUGGUGGGAUAAAAGCUUACCAAGCCGACGAUCUGUAGCUGGUCUGAGAGGACGACCAGCCACACUGGGACUGAGACACGGCCCAUACUCCUACGGGAGGCAACAGUGGGGAAUUUUGGACAAUGGGCGCAAGCCUGAUCCAGCCAUGCCGCGUGCAGGAUGAAGGCCUUCGGGUUGUAAAUUGCUUUUGUACGGAACGAAAAGACUCUGGUUAAUACCUGGGGUCCAUGACGGUACCGUAAGAAUAAGCACCGGCUAACUACGUGCCAGCCGCCGCCGUAACAC
rnacentral:rRNA from 1 species